CGUGCUUUGUUGGGAUCCAAGAGACUCCAUUCAAUAAACCAUCGUGUCUAUCUGAGAUGGGUUUUGUGUAGUUUGUGGGGUGGCCAGCUGGGCCCUCUGUGAGACGCUAAGGAUUUUAAAAUUUUAUUAUUAUUAUUAUUAUUAUUAUUAUUACCUGUGAAGUUCUUUUUCUUGGUCUGGUCUUGUUUCUGGUACCUUUUGGUGACUCAAGUGAAGGCAGUUGGACGCAGUAAUGUUCUGGGGGCAGGGGACAGAGGAUCUCCACAUUUCCUCUUGCCUAGGCGGUUGGAGUACAAUCCAUCCCUUAGGACUCGGAGACUCUUCUCGGACAGCUCAAAUGCACAGUGUUAUCUUUGAAACUUGGUUUUGUUUUCUGUCUUCCACUUUAGUUUUGUUUGUUUGUUUUGGUGCCUCGCUCCUCUGUCUUUAACUCCUUCACUAUGGGACACCUGGAUGGAUCCCUUUGGUGGGAUAUCUGGGUCCCUUCCCUCUUGUCCCCAACUCUAUUGGUUGUCCUUGGUGCGCUGGUCUGUCCGCAUCUGUCAGUUUAUGUCUGUCGUUUAGUUUAGUGGCUGGAUUGUUGCUCUGUAUUUCAUAUUCAAAGGAAAAAUGAACAAACCUUUGUCUGCUGCAUGUUUGCUGCUGAAUGUUUGCCUGUCUGCUGGAUGUUUGUCUGUCUGCUGGAUGUUUGUCUGCUGGAUGUUUACCCCUUGACUUUACUUUAACUCAUUUCAAGGAUUUUUUAGGUGGGAAUAAACAGUUGAAUUGGGACGUCAAAAAACUGAUAAACUGUUGCUGCCCUUGGAGUCCAGCACUGCUGGGGAAGCCCUGCCAAGGGGGCUGCUUGAUCUGCACAAGCCUCUCUUAAAGGACCACCAGCAGCUUCUCAGCUACUCUGGUAAGGAAGGGCUAGUUCUGCUACAAAAUCUCUGUGCCCAUGAGAACUGCAUUCGGCAGGUGGCAGCAAGAUGCUCCUCUCUUGACAUUACAGCUAGAAAAAACAUAGACUCCAAAAUCCUAACAGUGACUCCCCCAAGGUCUCCAAGAGUAUAUGGACACAAUGAUAUAAGACAGUACCGGGAUCGUGGUAUGACGACCACUGAACAAAACUGCUUAAUACUUCACACACUGCCACAGCCCUGCCUGAACUGUGGACAGAGGACAACUGGAGAAUUGACUGCCAUGUUGCUUAUGACAAGGUGAGAUCAGUCCCAUGUUCCUCUUCUACAGCAAAAAACCUCUUCAUCUUCUGGGCCUGGUAGGCAAAGACUGCCUCUGCCCUUGGUGCCAUAGAGACACAGGAGCCAGGGAUAACUGUAUAGGUAAUAAAAUAUGGACUAGUCUCUGUCAAUUUAAUUGAUACAUAGGCCAUUUAGAUUACAACUUAUCCUUCUCAGGUCUCUAAUCAUAUCGAUGUCUAAGCUAAUUAUAGCCUAACAGCUAAAAACCAACAGGCAAAUAGCUCCUUACCCCAGGUAAUCCACCACUGUGUUAGUUCAUUAGUCAAUUAAUUGGUUAGUUAAAGCCACUAGGUCUCUUAUUUAAAAGGGCAAACAGGUUUGCCUUGCUCACAGGAUUCAUAUUUAAUGACUAUUCUCAAAAACCAACUAACCACCUCUGACUCAUAAUGAGUAAGUGGAUAAAAAUAUAAAAUGUAAAAUUUAAAGGUCUGAGAAAAGAUGUUUGUGGGUCUAGGAAAAUGUUUAAGAUUGAUAUAUGCAAGUGAUAAAGGUUAGAGGAUGUAGAAAAAAACUUGGAUGAUGGCAGAAAAAUGAUUUAGAAAUAAAUAAAAACUCAGAUGAAAGAUAUUUAAAGUUGGUAAAUGCAAGUUAUAAAUGUUGGAGAAUCUAAGAUGUUUAAGAGUGUAGGGUCUAAGAAGGUAUCUUAAGGUACAUAAGUACAAGUUUUUUGAGGUAUAAGAAAAUAAUUAAGAUGUAUAUAAAAUGGGAAAUGUUUCAUACCCCCGUGCCAUUGUUAUAGUAAGGUUUCAAAGUUCAGAAUUUUAAUAUUGAUCAAUGGAGUUUUGACAAACAUCUCUGUUCAAUCUGUACAUCUAGCCAUCUGGACUGAGAAAAGAAUAUUCUGUGUUUUUUUGACCCAAACCUAUAGCUUUUAACUAAAUAUUUGUUGUAGGAGACUGAACAGAGACCGUGAGUGAACAGGCCUCACCUAAGGGACUGGUUUUAUGAGAGUAAGGAGGAGACAGCAGAGGAGGUGGCUGUGAAGGGUGAGAGUGUGAAGAGCUCUUUAUUGAACUUGUCCAGAGAGGAGAGUUGGCACAGGGCAGAGAAGACCUCUGAGGAGCAGAGGGCUUGAGAAGACCCGAGGGUUAUCAGACGGACAGGAAGAGGGCGUGGCAAGCAUGUGGUUUUGUCUGGGGCAAGUGUCUGACAGUGAGUGAUGGGCACAGAGAUGCUGAGAAGUUGCCUCAAGAGAAAGGGAGGGGGUGAUAGCUGGGCAGAGGACAGCAUUGUGUGGGGCUGGGCAGAACAGAGUAGGGAACAGAACUCAGGGGUGCAGAAGGGAGAUAAUGUGGUGGGAUCUACAGAAUCCUAGCCCCAGGAACGGGCUUGGAGAGCUAGAGGUAUGAGCUGGUAGAUCACAGAGGAUCAAAGAAGCAGGGCUCCGAGUUAGCAUUGGGAGUGGGAAUGACAGGCACCAUGUGCCCUGGGUACUGAGAAGAUGGGCAAGUGGCUCCCAUUCUCUGUCUUCCUGUCUGGUUCAUUUUUGUGCUCACCUAACAAAACUGGCACGUGCAGCCCUGGUUAGUACUAUUGCUGCUGUGUGAAUCUUUCACAGUGUGUUCACCCACCAUAUGCAAUACUGGGCUUCCAAAUAUUGGAGCAGUUUUUGUUUUUGUUUUUGUUUUUUGUCUGCAAAACCUCCCCAGGUUUUCUUGCCUCCAACAGUUUUGGUGAACUGACUUCUAUGCAAGUCUGGGCGCAUGUGUAUGCUUAGGGCUUGUACCUGGGUGUGGGAUCUCAGAGCCACACAGAGCACACUGCACACAGCUUAGGCAGGAGGGCAUGGCUUGAGCUCACGUGAUCUGUUGUCACCAUGCUCAGUGCUGUCCAGCUGUGAGUGGCUGCUGACCUAAUGAGUGUGAGAUUAUCGUACAUGCAGUGACCGAUGUGACCUCCUACCUGUCUGGCACAGUUGUCAGUGCUGAUGCUCCAGCGAGCAGCAAGCUGUACAUCGCUUUACCCCUGCGGCUGGUGGGAGUGGCUGAAGAAGUGCAUUGCUGAGUGAGGCGCAGAACAAGCUCCACCGUCAGUAGAAGUGCUGUGCUCUUCUUUUGGUGGGAGGAUGAUUUAUUUUUAGGGGCUGGAGAGAUGGCUCAG
rnacentral:sRNA from 1 species